CCUACGGGAUGCCGCAGUGAGGAAUAUUGGUCAAUGGUCGGGAGACUGAACCAGCCAAGCCGCGUGAGGGAGGACGGUACAGUGUAUCGUAAACCUCUUUUGUCAGGGAACAAAGGCGCUGACGUGUCCCGGGAUGCGUGUACCUGAUGAAAAAGCAUCGGCUAACUCCGUGCCAGCCUCCGCGGUAAUACGGGGGAUGCGAGCGUUUUCCGGAUUUAUUGGGUUAAAAGGGUGCGUCGGCGGCCUGUUAAGUCAGCGGUCAAAGGUCGGGGCUAAACCCCGGCACGCCGUUGAAACUGGCGGGCUUGAGUAUGAGAGAAGUAUGCGGAAUGCGCGGUGUAGCGGUGAAAUGCAUAGAUAUGGCGCAGAACUCCGAUUGCGAAGGCAGCAUGCCGGCCUCACACUGACGCUGAGGCACGAGAGCGUGGGUAUCGAACAGGAUUAGAUACCCCAGUAGUC
rnacentral:rRNA from 1 species